GCCCGGGGCAGCCCCACCCCCACCCCUCCCCCACCUCACUCAGGGCUCUCGCGCAGGCGUGCCAGUACGGGGGCUCCCGGGACUUGUAGUUUGCUCUUUUAAGAAAUGAAAGAGGCUCUGGAGGAAGAAGCCUACGACUUCCGUGAUGCUCGGCGGCUGCCUUAGUUUCAUGUCUCAUGGGAGUUGUAGUUUCCUUUUGGAAAACCGCCUCUAGAAGAAGGCUGAUGGGAGCGUCACCAGCAAUUAAGAUUAAGUUGUGGGCAUUCUCCGUUCCAGCUCCGAAAGAGACAUUCGGGCUCUCAAAGAUGGGCUGACCUACUGAAACAAGGAUCAUCGCGAACUCUUUGCCAAAAUAAAAUGAACGAUGCAAGGAAAAAGAGUGAACUUGGAGUCUUUUACCACAAACUUGAGAAAGCUGAAUUCACUUUCCAUCUUUGCUUGGUGGUUUAGUAAAACAACAUCCCCUCUUAGAAGUUUAUGAAGUACGCAUGUAGUUUAUACCAUGACUUUGGACAUAGAGGAGAUCUGGGUCCAUACAGUUCACAGUAAUGGAAUGCUUUUCUUGAAAGCACCCUCGAGGUCCCUGAAUCCCUUUGCUUCUCACAACUACCGCAGAUUAUACAGGUGAUGAGCACUAGGAGGCACCAGACUGAGUAGGAAGCCAGAUCACAGUCAAAAGUCUAAGCCCAACGGGUGAGAGCGGGAAGCACUUGAACGUACCCAACUACCCUACGGC